rnacentral:lncRNA from 1 species
UGCCUCCAACAACAGUUGGUCCCGAGGCUGAUGACAUGGAGGAGUUCUACAUCUGAGAGCGCCAUGGCUUUCAGACAGACUCAGUCACAGGAACCACUAUGCCCGGCUGGCUCUUUAUUUACAGGGUGCUCUCAGUCCCAAUUGCCAGCUCUGAGAGAACUUAAUUCUCUGUCUAGGGAGACUGUUAGCAUGCCAACCACGCCCCUAUCCUUAGCUGGCAGGUGCCAUAUUUCUAGAAGUUCAGAAAAGAAAAAAAAAAGAAGAAACACAUUUGUAUGGAAAUAAAUUUUCGACACACUUAAAUCAUAAAAUCUAUUUUUAAAUGUUCAAAAAUACAAUCUAAUGCUUCCUAUAAUUAUUUGAAGUGAAAAAGAAAGCAUAGUCAGAGAUGACUGAUGAUUUUUCAUACUCCAGAAGUAAAAUAACUAAGGCCAAAAUGUUGACCAGAAAAGGACACAGUGACUGAUCCAGGGUCAGUGUGCAGCACAGAAUGCAUGCCUUCCUGGUGCCCAGGCACACAGGGACCCAGGACCCGAAAACCCACAAGUACUGCUUUCAGUGGAUGGUUCAUAGCACAGCCACCAGCCCACAGCAGACAGCAGAACGCCUUGCUUUGAAGCCACUGAGCACUUGAAAGUCUGGGCCUACACACAACUAGCUAACAAGCCUUAUAGACAGCGUGAGUCAUCAAUGCCUUGCACACUUAUAAAAUAACCUGAGUUAGGAAAACUAGUUUUGCACACUCUUCCUCAGGCAGCUCAUGGUGGUAAGCAAGCCUGUAGACUGUCCCCCCUGAACUGAUGUGUGUAAGAGAACUCAAUGCCUGCAGUUACAAAUAGCAGGUUUGACGUGCGCUGGGGAAACAGGUGUGAGAUUCUCUGACUUUAAAAAGCACACACUUUAAAAGGGCUACAUACAUCUCUCCAUAAAUGACCACAGCCAUCUUUUGUAUUUUGUAGCACUGUCUAAACAGUUAAAAUGGAACAUUUUUGGCUGUCCUUUUGAUUGUACCUGUGAGCCAGUGCCCUGUGCCCCAAAGUAGGAAAGUGUGUGGUGCCGCCCCACAGGGCCAGCCUCCAGUGAGUGCACUGGAGCCUUAGGGAGAGCAGGCACUGCAGCCACACCAGCGUUCCCCAUUUGUUGUCCGUUGCUGCCACCAUGUGAAUGGUGACUAGACCAUCCAGUAAGGCUAUGUUUACAACCCCAACCUCACCAAAUGCCAACUUCUGGCAUCAGGAGCAAUGCCAAAUUAUCCCCAGAUUCUGUUUAUCCUUGGGACAGAAAAGCAUGGGUGUGUACCAUUCCCUGCCCAGUGUGGUGCUUCCUGUCUCCCCACUGGAAGGGCCCACAGCAGCUCAGAUGCAACUUCAGAACCUUUCCAGCAGGGCCUUCAGGCUCGCUUCCCCAUCACCGUCCAUCAGCCUCAGGUUCACCAUCCUCACAAGGAAAACCCAGGGCUCUGACCUGCCUCAAAUACUUUGGACUUCCCAGGACUCCGAGUUCUGCUCCUGUGGAAAUCAAUAAAACAUGAUCUCGUCUAAUUCUGGAUCGGGAUUAAGCCAACUUCUGAGAAGGGCUAAAUACUGAAUAUUUUAAAGUUUGUCAAACCAUGGUUUAAACUUUAGCCAACUGUGUUGCUAUCACUUCUAUUGCAGCAUGAAAAAUAAAACCUGUGUGAACGGAAA